AGUCACAAUUCCUCUGAGACCCUGAGAUCCUGGUGUGACCAAGCUUCUGGGAUGCUGGGAUCCUGGAAUCCUAAGAUCCUGGGCAUGUUAAAGCGCCUGGAAAUGGUACCUCCUCUGGAGACCAAGGGGCUGUCUGCUGUGUUCAAAAUCAAGGAAUAAAACAAUGUGUCUUGUGCUGCUAGAUAAAGAGCUCUUUAGAAGUUGGUUAUAUCUUACUGACUGACACUGACUUCACCUUCAUGAUUUUCUGCCAGCUGCAUCUCUAACAGAUGAGUGUUGAUCUCUGUUACACUAAAGUGUAUGUGUGCACAUGAAUGCAGGCACUCAUGGGGACCAAAAGAGGAAUACUUCGUGCCAGCAGAAGAAUCCAGCCUCUGUGACAACCAUAGAAAUGUGCUGUUCUUUAAUCGCUGGCUGACUCAGUUGUGGUGAACACCAGAGGAACAAGCUUUUUGGUUUAAGUUCUUUCUGUGUCUUUGGGUGGGCCAUCUUGUGUGUGGGGGCAAAUGGCAACAUGCAGUCAGGGUGGCUGUACAGGUGGCCCUUGGAGAAAGGACAGCUGUAAAUGCCCCCACCCCCACCCCGUUUGCAGAAAGCCAAGUUACUUCUUUCAUUUGGAGAGAAUGUAGCAAUUACUUGAAAUUA
rnacentral:lncRNA from 1 species